UUAGAGGGAAAGCUGAGAACCAAAGAGGUCAAAGUCUCUGUUCUGCUUGGCUCCUUCUCUGCCUCCUUGGCCUCAGCCUGGAGACACAAGGACUACUUGGAGUUCAAGACAGGAAAUCACAAGUUGAACGGAACUGCUCGCUGAAAAUCCUUCAGUCAGAAGCUGUCGGGCUGAUAACGGCCACGUGGCCUGCACUACAGCUCCCUCCAACGAGCCUGGCAAAGCAGCAGAAGAUGGCCCAAGUGCUUGGGCCCCUGCACCCACAUGGGAGACCCGGAAGAAGCUCCUGGCUUCGGAUCAGCGCAGCUCUGGCAGUUGGGACCAAUUGUGGAGUGAACCAGUGGAUGGAAGACCUCUCUCUCUCUCUCUCUCUCUCUCUCUCUGCCUCUCAUCUCUGUGUCUCUGUGUAACUCUGACAUUCAAGUAAAUAAAUAAAGCUUUUUUAGAAAAUUAAAAAAAUAAUAAAAUGAAAUACCAUGUCAGGAUAUGCCUGUGGAGAGGGGGGAAAGGCACAAGACAGAUGUUAAAGACAAAUUCUUUUUUCUCUAUAGUUUUAUUUAUCUAUUUAUUUGUGAGGCAAAGUUAGAGAGAGAGGAGGAGAGACACAGACAGAAAGGUCUUCCAUCCUGUGGUUCACUCCCAAAUGGCUGCAAUGGCCAGGGCUGGGCAGAUCUGAAGCCAGGAACCAGGAGCUUCUUCUGGGUCUCCCAUGUGGUUGCAGGGUCCCAUGGACUUGGGCCAUCUUCCAUUGCUUUCCCAGGCACACGAGCAGGGAACUGGAUCAGAAGUGAAGCAGCCAGGAUGCAAACUGAGUACCCAUAUGGGAUGCCAGUGCCAUAGGCUGAGGCUUACCCUACCACGCCACGCCACAGUGCUGGUCCUCUCUACACUUCUUAGGGCUGAGUCCAGCUUUCAAGUCAUGAGUUACUUUGUCCUUUUGUUAGUCUAUGUGUGUAAGAGGAACCGAAGAAAACAAGUUUUUUUUUUUUUUUUUGCAGGAAAUAAGAACUUCUGUGUGGUGGAAGGAGAACUUUAAAAGCCACGUUAUCAGCAACUGCAUUUCUAAACCACUGCUCUUGUGGGAUGGGGUUCAGCCCACUCCCUAGCUGAACACUGUGCUGAGAAGGCGGUGCCAGGGUUUCUCAGGGUAACCACACCCACGAACCUUCAGGGGGAGGAGGGAAAAACUCCCCGUCAGUAAACUUGGCUGCUGCUCCGAGUCUCUCUGCAGCCGCCAAGAAGCUUGGAGCCGCCGGCCCCGGGUACAACAGACCGGCUGGGGCUGCAGACAAAAGUCCUGUUUCCUCAAAAGCAUCACCGCUGUGACGCGAGCCUGUGUUUCCUGUUUUCCUUUGAACCGUAGUGUGAUGGAGACAUCUGAACCCCAGGUUCGAGGGGAGCGGCCUCCCCCGAGGUUCCAGACCGUCGCCCCUAGACAGUGCCCCGCGGGGAGCCUCUGCCACCUCCAUUUUCUCCCGCGGCUUCUCCCAGCCCUCCGCACGCACCCCUACUCACCGGCCCCCACGUCCCGCAGGAAGCUCAGCAGCAGGAAGACGAGCGCCCAGGGCCCGGCCCAGGUUGGAGGACCCCUGUGCGCGCGCGCAGCCAUACUGUGGUCGACCUCGGGCUUCCGGUGAGCUCAGAAAGGAAACUACCGCCUAGCCUGUGGCGCCCAGGCUUUUGGAAGUGGAGGUCGGGGAUGGGGGAGGGGGUGGGACGACGGAGCUCGGGAGGGCUGAGGAGAGGCGUCUCGAAGGUGGGUGAUCUCCGUUCCUGUACAAUGAUCCCCCUGCGGAACUCAGACUGAGGACAGGGCGGGGUCCGGUCCUUGGCGCCCUGGGACCCUGGCGGGGCGCGCGCCGCUCGGGCUGCGCUGGCUCAGGGAUACAGACCAGGAACAACGUCCACGCCGACAUUUCCACUAAAUGUUCCCAGCUGAUUAUUUCCUGCAAAGGUUUAGUGUUGACAUUUGCGGGUGUGAUCUCUGUGGAUUUUGACCUGGCCGUGCAGCCGUCUGUAGCGGCUCUCAGGCAGCUGCUGGCGAGCCUUUCUUGGUGGUGAAUAAACUCCUUUACUCCCGCA